CAUGGUGGACUUGUUGUUUGUAUAAGGUUGAGUUUUCUCCCAUGGAUAACGAAAGACCUUAGGGCUUUUGUUUUAAAAUCAACCCACUCAUAUUUUGGAAAUCUUUUAGCCGAACUACGGCGUUUUGAUCCUUACCUUCCAUGGAAAGGUACGUAGGCAACGGGUUCAUCCGUUCAAACACAAAAACAAUAAAAAACUUGUAUAUUCUUUUCUCAUCCCUUCCAUCCAUGUUUGCACAAUAAAUAUUUCAUAAACAAAU
rnacentral:lncRNA from 1 species